rnacentral:lncRNA from 1 species
CGCACUCCUGGGCUGGGCACUCCCCGCAGCAGUCACCAAAGCCAGAAGCAGCAGCUGCAUCAUCUGCCAGGCCAUGUAGACAAGGCCUGAGACAGGGGCAACAGCCAUGUGAUUGUGUACUCUCUCCCUCCCAGGCCCAGAUCUCUGCUGUCCCCACCCUGCAUCCCCUACAGGGCAGCUGAGCCAAGAAAUGCGCUGCGUGUAGAGGUGAGAGGGAGCCCUUCC